rnacentral:lncRNA from 1 species
UUUCAUUUCUUCCCCUCGCCUGAUUGCUCCGGCUAGGACUUCCAAUCACUUAUUUUGUUUAGUACUUCGUUUUAAUUUUUCGCUCUGACUGAACCCAACAUUAAAAAGAAAUCUGGCUGAAGCAGAUGGAUUACCUGAGGUCAGGAGUUCGAGACCAGCCUCGCCAACAUGGUGAAACCCCAUCUCUACUAAAAAUACAAAAAUUAGCCGGGUGCGAUGGCAUGCGCCUAUAGUCCCAGCUACUCAGGAGGGUGAGGCAGUAGAAUUGCUUCAACCUGGGAGGUGGAGGUUCCAGUAAACCGAGACCGUGCCACUGCACUCCAGCCUGGGUGACAGAAUGAGACUCCAUCUAAAAAAAAAAAAAAAAAGAAAAGAAAAGAAGAAAAAGAAGUCUGAAUUGACAGAGAGUACCUCAGUCACUCACCUAAGGCUCAAUGAUGAUGAUGCUAUGACUGCCGCCCUCUGCUAAUGGCUCUUCG